AAUACAUGCAAGUCGAACGCUUUUUCUUUCACCGGAGCUUGCUCCACCGAAAGAAAAGGAGUGGCGAACGGGUGAGUAACACGUGGGUAACCUGCCCAUCAGAAGGGGAUAACACUUGGAAACAGGUGCUAAUACCGUAUAACAGUAGAAACCGCAUGGUUUCUAUUUGAAAGGCGCUUUUGCGUCACUGAUGGAUGGACCCGCGGUGCAUUAGCUAGUUGGUGAGGUAACGGCUCACCAAGGCAACGAUGCAUAGCCGACCUGAGAGGGUGAUCGGCCACAUUGGGACUGAGACACGGCCCAAACUCCUACGGGAGGCAGCAGUAGGGAAUCUUCGGCAAUGGACGAAAGUCUGACCGAGCAACGCCGCGUGAGUGAAGAAGGUUUUCGGAUCGUAAAACUCUGUUGUUAGAGAAGAACAAGGAUGAGAAUAAAACGUUCAUCCCUUGACGGUAUCUAACCAGAAAGCCACGGCUAACUACGUGCCAGCAGCCGCGGUAAUACGUAGGUGGCAAGCGUUGUCCGGAUUUAUUGGGCGUAAAGCGAGCGCAGGCGGUUUCUUAAGUCUGAUGUGAAAGCCCCCGGCUCAACCGGGGAGGGUCAUUGGAAACUGGGAAACUUGAGUGCAGAAGAGGAGAGUGGAAUUCCAUGUGUAGCGGUGAAAUGCGUAGAUAUAUGGAGGAACACCAGUGGCGAAGGCGGCUCUCUGGUCUGUAACUGACGCUG
rnacentral:rRNA from 1 species